GUGAGGAAUAUUGGACAAUGGGCGCAAGCCUGAUCCAGCCAUGCCGCGUGCAGGAUGACGGUCCUAUGGAUUGUAAACUGCUUUUAUACAGGAAGAAACAGUUCUACGUGUAGAACCUUGACGGUACUGUAAGAAUAAGGAUCGGCUAACUCCGUGCCAGCAGCCGCGGUAAUACGGAGGAUCCAAGCGUUAUCCGGAAUCAUUGGGUUUAAAGGGUCCGUAGGCGGUUUAAUAAGUCAGUGGUGAAAGCCCAUCGCUCAACGGUGGAACGGCCAUUGAUACUGUUAGACUUGAAUUAUUAGGAAGUAACUAGAAUAUGUAGUGUAGCGGUGAAAUGCUUAGAGAUUACAUGGAAUACCAAUUGCGAAGGCAGGUUACUACUAAUGGAUUGACGCUGAUGGACGAAAGCGUGGGUAGCGAACAGGAUUAGAAACCCUAGUAGUCC
rnacentral:rRNA from 1 species